rnacentral:lncRNA from 1 species
AGUCCACAGAAAUAUCUGAUUUCAAAGAGAUGCUUGCAUUCUGUACUGAUGCCAUCUAGAAUUGUAAAUGACCAGUGUCACACUGCUAAGUGGAGAAAGCGUGAAAGAAGAAUCCCAUCAGUACAUUCACGAUAGAGGAAAUAAGAAACAAUGAAAGCCACAAGUUUACUCGAAGGCAGCAAAAUUGGCCCUACUCCCAACCCUGCAACAUGCACCAUUUCCAUAAACAAUCUACAGAGAUGGCUGAGAAAAAGAAAAAGGGGUACUCUCCUUUACCCCUUCUCCAAAGCCCGAUGAAGUAAAGAGUAGAAAUCAAGAGUGUCUACAAGAAUUGGGGAUUGGCAUUGAUUCUCCACUGUGUGAUUACUCAUGCUUUAUGGCAAUGUGCCUAUUUAAAGGGCAGGUAAUGACUUAGCAAGAAGGAAGGAGAGAGAAUGUCAAACUCACCUGAAGUCUUACCAAUUGGUGUGGCAGGUAUGUGGCUGUUUCCCAUGAGUGAAUACACUAUAAGAUUAUUAGGCUCUAGCUGUUUUGCUUGUAUCUAAUCCAGGUGACACCAGCAUUUAGAGACUAUGAGGUGUACUGGGAGCUGAGAUAAUGAAAGAGGUAGCAUUAAAGUAAUAUCCCCCAAAUUAUGGCAGAUCUAUGGUUAGAAGCCUAAGAAUAACAUGUGAAAACCUCAUGUCAGAGCCUGACAAUAUACCAGAAUUUGGAUACCUGCCAUACAGAAGGUACCAGCCGCCAAGGGGUAACUGUCAGAAAAGUGACAACAAUCACAAGUUGGGAAAAGGACUUGUCUCUUUGCCCCUCACUCCUCUCUGUGCCCAAUAAUUUGGAUGAGCUAUUGCCUACAGAAUGAAAGGAGAGUUGUAGGGCUAUGAAUCAAAUAUGAGACAAGUUUUAAAUGAGAAGAAAGUAACAUUUAAUAAGCAAAAAUGCCCAGAGAACUAUGGAAUCAUCCCAAGAAAGGAUUAAUAAACAAAAAUUGGAUUCAAUAGAAAACACAUCAGAGAAAAAAGUUAAUAUUUUUAUACCAUAGAUGUGAGAGUCCUUAAUGCACUAGUUACAGCAUAUUAGUGCAUUAUGUACAUUCCAUGUGACUCUCUUAUUACCACUAUACCCACAAUGCUUAGAACUGGGUCCUCAAUAAUCGAGUAUGGGUGGCUAAAGGACUUUUCAUUUUAUGUGGCAGAGGAUAAUAAUAAAAAAAGAAAUAAUAGAGGAAGAAACUGGCUUUGGUGUUCUAGACAUAUUAGGGCUGAAACCCAAAUAUUCAGUUACCUGUUUUGCUUGGCCUACAUCCAUUUUCAGCAGUGCACUCAAAGUCUCCAAAGAAAUUUGCAGAGAAUUUCUUCCAGUAGCCCCAAGAGUUCUCAGCAUAAGUACUGGAAAAACUCACUAGCAUGGAGGAUGCUUCUCUCCAGUGGAAUCAACAGUGGCCUCUGCUGAUUCAGAGACUUCAGUGUUCCACAGUGAAACUAGAUUGUGAUGAGAGCAAAUAUGGCUGGAAGGCAACACUGCUCAGGUGGUUAGAGCGUGAGUUCUGUAGUAUCAAGGAGCUUUUUUCUCAGUGUGUCUGUCAGUGGAGAAUUUGGGGGAAAGAUCAAAUCAAAUUGCUAAAUAAAACAUAAAGCCCCACAGAGAUGGAAGCCAGCAAUAUGUGUAUGCUGUGGUUUGGGUGCCCCCUUUACCUUCCAGAAUGUCUUUGAACUGCAUGUUGAGCUGGUUUCACCUGGGUGAAAACAUGAGGGAAAAGGAAGUAAGGGAAGGAUGGACAGAUAGUGGUAGAGACUGAUGACCACUUCAAGUAAGUGUGCUAUCAGGAGAAUAACUCUCCCAUGUCUUCAUAGGAGUCAGUGAACAGUCACCUGUUGUAUAGAAUCACCCAUGGGCAGUCACUGGUUACCAGCAGCAGCACCAACCAACCACCUGAGAAUUACACCAAUGGUCAGUUAGGCAAAGAGACAUCUGCCUCCCUCUCCUCUUCCCCAACACUUAGAUUUUACUUAUCACUGAUUCUUGCAUAGAAAUGGUUCUGACUGGUGAAAACAAAGAGAAAAAUAUGUUGAAGGAAGUACCUAUGAACCUAAUUAUUAUUUUACUCAUUUUUUUCUCCAAAGUCUAUUGAUAAAUAAUGUUUUCAGUGUCAACUUUGACUUUAUUUUCAAUAUACAAAGUCAAACUAAAAACUUUCGUAUUUCAGGUUGAAAUUUAUAGUGUAACUCUUUACUUUUAAUGGCUUCCAGUUGUUCUAUUUUGGUUUCUGGCAGAAAUCCUUUUGGUAUGUUACAUAGAAAUAUAGAUAGAUAAAGGAAAGCCAAUUAUCUUUUCUUUACAGAGAAAUAUCCUGAAUGCUGUAAGUUGAGGGGAAUGGCAGGGUAUGUACUGGUAUGACUGGCCAAUACAGAAUCUAGUCUAGCUGAGAUAUGGCUUUUAGUAGGAAGCCUCAUAGGGAACAUGAUGGAGGAAAAUCCUUUCAUUUAUGGUAUCAAGAGAUUUUCAUUUUAAUCCCAGCUAUAUUUUACAUCAAUGUUGUCAUGCAUUCUAUCUUCUCUGGGCUUGAGAUAUACAAGAUGAGGAUGCUGAUUUAGCAGAAGUUCAAGCAUCCUUUCCAAGGUGAACAUCUAUGACCACUCAGUGUUGAGAAUUACUUCAGACUAUUAUUAACACUAUUAUUAACCAAAGGAAGGACCCCCCUGAUUACUGAUCAGUUCUCCAGUCCAUUGGGAAAUCCUUCUAAAGGCCAUUUCAUUUCAGACUGAAAUGUACAAAUGUAUAAAGAGUGGAAAAGACAUCAAAACUAAAAAUACUAUGUUAAACUUUGUUCCAUAUAGGACAAUACAUCAAAGAUUAAAGUUAGGUUGAAAGCAAAGUUCUAUGAGGAUAAGAACGGAGUCUGUCUUAUUUAUUGUUUUAUUGUCAGUGCUCAGCUCAGAAUGACAUUUAAGAAGUGUUUAAAUGACUAUUGGCUGAAUUAUUAAAUGCAGAUAAUUGGUUACAGUGAAAAAAAAAAAGUUUGUGGGAAAAAAAACUGCGUAGCUGGAUUCCUGUGAUCCCACAUCAUCCCAACCCUGUAAGUUCAGGGUCCAGGCCAAUAUAAACAUGAGACAGAAUAUAAUAAUGCAGUAUCUGCCUCAGAAUCUAGGCAGCAAGACCCACAGCACUUUGCCCCUUGAGUGACCACUGCAUUACUUCAUUGGAUCCCCAGUCCUUCUUGAUACCAGAGUGAGUAGGAGUUAUUUAAUUCCAGUGCUGACUACUAGCCUUCUCUAGUCAAAGCUGACCCUCUGUUGCAGACAAUUCACCUCUAAUCCCUCAUUUCAGAGUCUUCUCUCUCCCUAUUGUUAUGAGUGCCACUUACAGUCAGGUUUCUGCUUUAAUCACUGCUUUAUAUUCUGACUUAAGUCAGUUGCCAGCUUCUACCGUAUCCCAGUGGUGAUUGUACACUUAAGUAGAUUUCUUAGAGUCCCAUAAUUAUGUAAAGACGCCCCUCACCUAAAUCCCAAUCCAAAGGCCAAGGCCCCAUUAUCCAUCAUCAGCAGUUUCAUCCACACAAUUUUAUCUUAUUACCUAGAAUUCUGAAUUUGCACAUCGGCUUUCCCAUCCUGUUGCUCUUUUUGGAGCUGCUUUCUAUGCAGAAUUCUUGCUGUCUUGCUCUUCUGAUGGAAUCUCCACCUAUGGACAGGGCUGAUGGGCACAGUAACCUAAAUCUUCCUUAGCUUGGUAUAAAUAAAUUAUUACAUUUGCCAGGUUGUCCUGAGUUGUAAUAAUAAGUCAUUCAUUGCACCUAUACGAGCAACUAACAUCGCUUUUCAUUUUUAAUCUAUGUGAACAUGAUCUGACAAGAAUAUUAAAUAUUCAGACCCUAAAUUUUCAAAUGAUAAACCAGUGGGAAAGUUGUUACUAGAAUUUCUAAUUUUAAAAGGAAUGUUCCAUCAUAUUAUUUUUGAAAUAUGUAAGUAAAAAAAACUAAAAUGCACUCAUUAUCAUAGUCUUUAAAAUGAUGUGUAAAGAACUGAAAGUCUCCCUUUUACUAAUUCUAUUGUUUAGAGAAAAUUAUUGUUAGUAUUUAUUGAGCCCUACCAUGUUCCAGAAACUGUUCUAGGCCCUGAGGCUAGAGAAUGACCAGAAAAAAUUAGGUGCCUUCACAGACCUUAUAUUUUGAUGAGGAAUACAUACAAGCAAAGGGAAAUUAAGAAAAAUAAAAGAUAAAUGAUAAGGAGAAAAAUAACAUUAGGUUAGAUACAGGAGCUGUUGGGGGAGAACAUACUGAAAUAUUGGAUUCAGUGGCCAGGGAAAAUGUCACAGAAGAAUCGAUCAGACCAUCCAUGCAAAUCUCUGGCAGAGAAAAUUCCAAGCAAAUGGAAUGGUAAGAGCAAAACUCUGAGUUGGAAGUCUGAUUAGCAUAUAUGAGGACAGCAAGGAGACUUGUGUGGAUAAAAUAAAGGGAAAGGAAAGAAAAGAAAGUGACAGAAUUGCUCGGUGGGUAUGGGGUGGAGGAGAACCAAGGAUCCAUAUCAUAAUAAGUACAGCCACUCAUUGCUUAAGAACAGUGAUAUAUUCUAAAUGUGUCGUUAGGCAAUGAUGUCGUUAUGCAAUUACUAUUAUAUUCUUGUGAAAUCAUAGAGUGUACUUACACAAAUAUACUAUAGCCUAUUCCUCUUAGGCUACAAACCUGUACAGCAUGUUACUGCACUUAAUACUGUAGACAAUUGUAACACAAUAGUAUUUGUGGAUCCAAACUUAUCUAAAUAAAACAAGGUACAGUAAAAAUAUGGCAUAAAAGAUAAAAUAUGUUACAUCUGUAUGGGACACUUACCAUGAAUGAAGCUUGCAGGACUGAAAGUUGCCCUGGGUGAGUCAGUGAGUAACUGAUUAGUAAAUAUGAAGGCCUGGACAUUACUGUACUAUACACUACUGCAGAAUUUAGAAACAUGGUACACUUAGGCUACACUAAAUUUAUAAAAAGUUAUUUUCUUUCUUCAGUAACAAAUUACCCUUAGCUUACUAUAAUUUUUUCUUUUUAAACUUUUUACUUUAUAAAAAUUUUGUUUCUUUUGGGUAAUAACUCUUAGCUUAAAACACCAUUGUACAACUGUACAAAAAUAUUUUUCUUUAUAUCUUUAUUCUAUUGCUUUUUUCCAUUUUUUUAACUUUUUAAAGUCUUGUUUACAUUUUCAACUUUGUCACUGAAAAUGAGCACACACACACACACACACACACACACAUUAGCCUAAAUUCAAGGAUAAAUUUCUUUGAAUUUCAUCAAACCCAGGGUCAGGAUCAUCAAUAUUAUUGUCUUCCACCUCCACGUCUUAUCCCACUGGAAGGUCUUCAGAGACAUAGCAGGCAGGGAGCUGUCAUCUUAUAUAAUAACAAUAACUUAUUUUGGGAUACUUUCUGAAGGACCUGCUUUAGGCUGCUGGACAGUUAACUUUAUUUAUUUUUUAUAAGUAAAAGAAGUACACUCUAAAAAUUAUUUUAAAAGUACUCUAGUAAAUACAUAAACCAUAAACAUAGAUUUAUCAUUAUCAAGUAUUAUGUACUGUACAUAAUUGUACUGCUAUACUUUUCUAAGACUAUCAGUGCAAUAGAUUUGUUUAUACCAGCAUCACCACACACAGGUGAGUAAUGCAUUGUGCUAUGACCUUACAAGGGCUGUAACAUCACCACUAGGUGAUAGGAAUUUUUCAGCUCCAUUAUUGUCUUAUGGAACCACCAUUGUAUAUGUGGUCUGUUGUUGACCACAAUAUUGUUAUGUGAUGCAUGAUGGUACUUUGCUUUUUCCUAUGAAGUAGAUUUUAACAAUAGAUUAGAGAACAUAGAGAGAAGAGUGGAAUUAUCUCCCUCUAGUUUUGCAUUUUCAUGUUGACUGUGUUAAAAAAAAGACUUAAAAGGAAAGAAGGUGGAUAUGGGAGAUGACAAGGAUUUGCAAUAAUUCAGGCCAGCUACGGCUUGGAACCAGUGUAGUACUAGCCAAGUGAUUGAAUUUGGGGUAUAAUGUGAAGGUAAAAGCCAUCAGGAUUUGCUAAUGAAUUAGAUGUGGGGUAUAGAACAAAGAGGGGAUUUGUGAAUACCUCCAAGUAUUUAAGCCAAAACAACUGAAAAGAUGGAGAUGUCAUAAAGUGAGAUGGGAAGACUGUUAGAGCAAGUUUGGAGUGGUUUAAGAAUCUGAAGUUUAACUUUAGGCAUGUUAACUUUGAGAUGAUUAUAUGUCAUUCAAGUGAAAAUAUAAGUAGGUUAUUGGAUAUGAGUUUGGGGUCAGGAAAGAGAUUCAGAAUGGAGAUAUAAAUCCAGGGAUCAUCAGCAUGGAGAUGGUAUUUAAGGACAGUGAGUGGAUAAAAUCAUCUAGGAAGUGAUUAUAGAUGACAGGAGAAAAGAUCCAAGAACAGAGCCCUGGCUGAUUCUGAAAUUUAAGGAGCUAGAAGGAAUAGACACUAGCAAAGGAAAACAGGAAUAAACGCCUGAGAUGUAAGAGAAAAAAGUAGGUGAAUAUGGUGCUUUGAAGCUAAAAAUAAAAGGGAAUUCAAUAAAUUUAUCCUAUGAUUAUUUAGAGAUAUAUAUGUAUAAACAACUAUAUUUGUGUGUGUGUGUGUUUCUGUGAGGGAUAGUUUUUAUUUUACAAAAUGAGAUCAUGCUAUCCUUAAUUAUCUAAAACCUACUUUAAAAAAUAAUUUAUUGUCAAAGAAAUUUUUGUAUCAUCUGUACUCUUAAAAUUAAAUGUUUUAUCUUCAACUUUUUGACUUUCCAGAAGCAUUAUUAUAAAAAAGUAACAUAAUGAACUUAAAGUACAACAUGGUAAAAAUAUUUCUG